AAAUAGAUACCCGGGUAGUCCACGCCGUAAACGAUGAAUACUAGGUGUAGGAGGUAUCGACCCCUUCUGUGCCGCAGUUAACACAAUAAGUAUUCCGCCUGGGGAGUACGAUCGCAAGAUUAAAACUCAAAGGAAUUGACGGGGGCCCGCACAAGCAGCGGAGCAUGUGGUUUAAUUCGAGGCAACGCGAAGAACCUUACCUAGACUUGACAUCUCCUGAAUUACCCUUAACCGGGGAAGCCCUUCGGGGCAGGAAGACAGGUGGUGCAUGGUUGUCGUCAGCUCGUGUCGUGAGAUGUUGAGUUAAGUCCCGCAACGAGCGCAACCCUUAUCAUUAGUUGCUACCAUUAAGUUGAGCACUCUAGUGAGACUGCCACGGUUAACGUGGAGGAAGGUGGGGAUGACGUCAAAUCAUCAUGCCCCUUAUGUCUAGGGCUACACACGUGCUACAAUGGUGAGUACAAAGAGAUGCAAUACCGUGAGGUGGAGCCAAACUCAAAAACUCAUCCCAGUUCGGAUUGUAGGCUGAAACUCGCCUAC
rnacentral:rRNA from 1 species